rnacentral:tRNA from 1 species
UAGCUUAGUUGGUAGAGUGUUUGCCUCACAUGCACAAGGCCUUGGGUUCAAUCCCCAG